rnacentral:rRNA from 1 species
GACGAACGCUGGCGGCGUGCUUAACACAUGCAAGUCGAACGGAAAGGCCCUUCGGGGUACUCGAGUGGCGAACGGGUGAGUAACACGUGGGUGAUCUGCCCUGCACUUUGGGAUAAGCCUGGGAAACUGGGUCUAAUACCGAAUAGGACUACGCUCUUCAUGGGGUGUGGUGGAAAGCUUUUGCGGUGUGGGAUGGGCCCGCGGCCUAUCAGCUUGUUGGUGGGGUAAUGGCCUACCAAGGCGACGACGGGUAGCCGGCCUGAGAGGGUGACCGGCCACACUGGGACUGAGAUACGGCCCAGACUCCUACGGGAGGCAGCAGUGGGGAAUAUUGCACAAUGGGCGCAAGCCUGAUGCAGCGACGCCGCGUGAGGGAUGA